rnacentral:rRNA from 1 species
CCUACGGGUGGCAGCAGUGGGGAAUAUUGCACAAUGGAGGAAACCCUGAUGCAGCGACGCCGCGUGAGUGAAGAAGUCUCUCUGUAUGUAAAGCUCUAUCAGCAGGGAAGUAAAUCACGGUACCUGCCUAAUAAUCCCCGUCUAACUACGUGCCAGCAGCCGCGGUAAGACGUAGGGGGCAAGCGUUAUCCGGAUUUACUGGGUGUAAUGGGGGCGUAGACGGGGCUGCAAGUCCGGAGUGAAAGCCCAUGGCUUAACCAUGUUACUGCUCUGGAAACUGUGGAGCUUGAGUGCGGGAGGGGCAGGCGGAAUUCGUAGUGUAGCGGUGAAAUGCGUAGAUAUUAGGAGGAACACCGGCGGCGAAGGCGGCCUGCUGGACAGUAACUGACGUUGAGGCUCGAAAGCGUGGGUAGCAAACAGGAUUAGAUACCCCAGUAGUC